CUGCAUUCCUCCCCCCCCAACAGCUGUUUCCCAGCGCAAGCGCUCGGCGUGCAGCAGGACGCUGCAGCCCGCUCAUGGGAGGAGGCGGAGAGGACUGGGGACGGAACAUGGGACCCUGGCCAAUGGCCUGGAGAAUGGAUACCCCAGGGACUGGUGACCAGGAGUCCUAACUGGUUCUGGCCAGUGGGAAGACAAUGGGCUGUGAAGAGAGAACCCCGGGACCUGAACAAGUGGUUCCAGCCAGAGGACAGAAGAGAGGAAAGGCGGCCCAGGCGACCCUGUUUACCUGGAGAGAAGACAAUGGACAGAGGCGGGGCUUGGAGGAGGUGAUAUCGGAUGCCCAGCUGGGAAGCAGGGGGGCUCAGGACUGGAGAGGGAGAGCAGGCAGAGCCCACCUGGAUGCAGGCGAGACUUGGAUGUGUUUUGCUGAGGGAGGGCAGGCCCGAGGGCCCUGAGAGUUUCCUAUGCCGUGUUCAGAUGCUCAAUAAACCCUCCUGUUUUACACUG